GACGGAAGGUGCAAGCGUUGCUCGGAAUCACUGGGCGUAAAGGGCUCGUAGGCGGCCAACUAAGUCAGACGUGAAAUCCCCAGGCUCAACCUGGGAACUGCGUCUGAUACUGGAUGGCUUGAAUCCGGGAGAGGGAUGCAGAAUUCCAGGUGUAGCGGUGAAAUGCGUAGAUAUCUGGAGGAAUACCGGUGGCGAAGGCGGCAUCCUGGACCGGCAUUGACGCUGAGGAGCGAAAGCCAGGGGAGCAAACGGG
rnacentral:rRNA from 1 species